rnacentral:lncRNA from 1 species
CGAAAUGCGGGAAAUAUUAUUGUUGGACAAUGAUGAGCCUGCGACAUAUGCAGAAGCAAUGAUGGACCCAGACUUCGAAAAAUGGCAGAAUGCCAUGCAAUCCGAAAUAGAGUCCAUGGGUUUGUCAAGAAGCAUGCUAUGAGACAUAGUCAAUCAAGAUGGGAUUUGCCCCUCUCUGAUUGAGAGUGAUAUCUCUGGG